AGUGUAGGCGGCUUCGUAAGUCGGAUGUGAAAGCCCUGGGCUUAACCUGGGAAUGCCAUUCGAUACUGCGCGGCUAGAGUUUGAUAGAGGGAAGUGGAAUUCCAGGUGUAGCGGUGAAAUGCGUAGAUAUCUGGAGGAACAUCAGUGGCGAAGGCGGCUUCCUGGAUCAAAACUGACGCUGAGGCUCGAAAGCGUGGGGAGCAAACA
rnacentral:rRNA from 1 species